rnacentral:lncRNA from 1 species
UUGGUGUCUAAGGCAAGUUAAUGAGAUGUGGUUAUUUAAUUAUUUCAUUAGCCGAUCUGGCCAAUUUAUUGGUGUCUAAGAAAGAUAAUGGGGGAUCCCCAUUGAUCUCCACUUACCUAAUCAAUUUGAAAGAUUGGGUCUCGAAUUAGGUUGCCUAACGGUUUGAUUUAGCCCAUGCCAGUUAGAUGGGUCAUAUGAUGACUGAUUAGAUGAGAUAC